rnacentral:rRNA from 1 species
CCGGGUGAGUAACACGUAUCCAACCUGCCGUCUACUCUUGGACAGCCUUCUGAAAGGAAAGAUUAAUACAAGAUGGCAUCAUGAGUCCGCAUGUUCACAUGAUUAAAGGUAUUCCGGUAGACGAUGGGGAUGCGUUCCAUUAGAUAGUAGGCGGGGUAACGGCCCACCUAGUCUUCGAUGGAUAGGGGUUCUGAGAGGAAGGUCCCCCACAUUGGAACUGAGACACGGCCCAG